GCCGGGGUGGCGGAAUGGUAGACGCGAAGGUCUCAAAAACCUUUGAUCCAAAAGAUCAUGUGGGUUCGACUCCCUCUCCCGGCA
rnacentral:tRNA from 1 species